rnacentral:lncRNA from 1 species
UAACGGGACAAGCUAAUAACUAGCAGGUGAUCAUCCUGAAGUGGCCUGCCUCGGAUUAUUAUAUAACCUGUGACAGGUGAGCCCUCACUAAGCAAGGCUGUGAGGGACUCAUUUUAGGAAAGAUUCCUGCUGUUAAUAGGCUUUUCCUGUUAUUAUUAAACAUAUAUAACAAUCACUAAGUAGUACCACACCCCCUUUACCUUUAGAGGAGAUCUGUGAAGAUGUACUAUCCUGUAGUGAUGCUAUAGAGACAAAUAGAUGACUUAAGUCUUAAUGAUGAUCCUAUAAGAAUUCCUAAAAUUAUAUCUGUGAUUAUUAAGCUCUUUUAUAAUGGGACUGCUAUUAGGUCCUUUUCUGAUAGUCAAAGCUGCAAUGAGAACUCUGUCAGUCUUCCAAGCAUCACCAGUUAUUUGCUCUUAGAUGGUAACCAGACUUUCUCCUACUCAGAGCACAUUCCAAAAGGUUUUAAACAAUCAACCAAAGGUCAUUAAAAGGCAACUAACGAUUUAUUGUAGGUGCUAGGACAGAAGAUAAAAUACCGACUGGGUUUAUCUAUACAAAACUUCACUAAUAGCUUAGUUAUGGUUUUAAACCUUCAGUGAACCUGUGGAGCUCAGACAGAUGAUGGAUGUUUAGCCAGAUAGUUACUCCUAAUGGAUAUGCAUGCACACAUUCGCCGUUGUAAACUUCUGUUUCAAUUUAUGAUUUGAUUUUUUGUGUGAACUUGUGAUGAACUUUGUAACACGUGAUCAUGUAUUCUGAAAGAUGUCUAAGUACUGACGACAAAGAGCAGCACGAGAAUCAUCAAUAGAACGAAGAUCAAUAGGAGACUUUGUGCCUUUCCCCACUUAGGAUCUUUCGCUUUUCCCCUUAGAUAGCUUUCAUAGGAAACUUUUUACAACUUGGUAAUAAACUCUAUAAUCACUUCUCUAAGCGUCUUCUCUUCCUGUGACUUCCAACUAGCAGGCUGAAAAGUUAGAGCCCAGCAGUUCCUGCUGAGAAAAAACAAGGGCAGCAUUGCUUAAUCCUCCACUGUUAGGCUAAAGGUGUUAAUUGCCUAAGCCAGCAGUCUUUUACCCCCAGAAAGAGCAAGAAAGUUUUUAGGACUUUUUAGAAGUUAUCAUCAGCAUUUCAGUAUAAUUACAGAGCUAGAAAGCCCUGAGACCCCCCGACUUUAAAGCCAUCACCAGAGUCCUACUCUGUGAAUCCACUGCUAUCCUGGCCCAGGCUGGGAGGCAUCCUACCUUGUGGGACUGGGAGUUGAAAGCAGAUUCCUAGACUUGGAGUUGAGUAACUUUACCUGCUGAGCCAUCUUGCUGGCCCAGAAAGGUUUUUAAAGAUUAAAAGCACUUUAUUUUUGUAACCAUAUGAGAUUAUAAUGAUUUAGAGUUGCGUUUACAUGACAUCUUCUGAGGUUAACUUCUAAUAUAAUCAAUUCUGGCAGACAUAGACCAUAAAACAAAAGCUCUCUGAAGUCACUAUUAGCCUUCAUAGUGUGAAAGAGUCGAAACUCAAAUGUUGCAAUAGAAGAUGGCUCUUCUUUAUCCAUCGGAUUCUGAGAACUCGGUACAGAACACAGUAGCCUUGACCAUCACCUGAUAAUCACAGAAUCUUCUCAUCACUAGCAUCAUGUAAAGCAGGCAUCACCUAGGAUUUUAACCAACACAGGAAAACCGGAUCAUAUGUCCUGCUUCAAAGCCCCUUACAACCCAUCAUUAUUACUGAGCUCUAAGAGAAUGAAGAAAUAAGAAUCUACUCAUUAAAUAUAAUUAAAAACCUCAUUACCUUUUCCCAAAUAUUGAGACUUUUCUUUCCGAUGUCGGUUUGUGUGUACUCAGCUUUCCAAAGGUUGAUCUUUCUUUGCUUUAAAGAAACAUUGAAAACAACUCUUUAAAUCAAGUGUAAAAAUACUAGUUUAAGUAAUUUUUGAAAUAUGUUAGAGUUAAUACCUCCUUCCCACUGUCCCACUACCCACAACAAUUUUUGAAAAAUCAUAGAAGUUUUUGGUAGCUGUUAGGUAGAUGAGCUGCAAGAUAGUAUAAUUUUAAAAUGUUAAAAAUUUCUAAUCUAUGUGUUUUUUUAUCUUAAAAUUUAUUUAUGUGGUGCUGAAGAGACGGCUCAGCAGUUAAGAACACUAAUUGCUCUUUCAGAGGUCCUGAGUACAAUUCCCAGCAACCACAUGGUGGCUCACAACCAUCUGUAAUGGGAUAGGAUUCCCUCUUGUGAUGUGUCUGAGGACACUGACAGGGUACUCACAUACAUAAAAUAAAUUUAUCUAAAAAAACAAACAAAAAAAAAACCCAAAAACCCUGAUUAAAGUAGGUUUAAAAAAAUAUAUGCUUUAUGAAUAAAAAUAGAAGAAGUACUUAAUUUUUGGGUGACAGCUUUGUUUGAAUUUCUUUCUUUUAAAGUUUACUUUUUAAAUUUUUGAGAUAGGGUCUUAAGUCUGUAUUCCAGGAUGUCCUAGGACUCAGUAUGUAGUUUGGGUUAGCCUCAGACUCAAAAUUUUUCUUUCAGCAUGGAACUAGGUAUAGCCAUUUAAGCCAUUAUUUUCUAAACUAUAAGAAAAAUGGCAAUGGUAACAUUUUAAGUACAAUUCAAUGCACAAAUCUUUUUUGGUCUAAGAAAUGUAUCAUGGUUAAAAAAAAAGUGCUUCAAGUAUCCAGAAAGAAAAUAUGUAAAUAGUUCACAUUUCUAAUAGUAGAGCCUCACCAGGCACCGGUAGUGGUACACACCUUUAAUCCCAGCAGUUGGCGAGGCAGAGGCAGGCAAAUUUCUGAGUUCGAGGCCAGCCUGCUCUACAAAGUGAAUUCUAGGACAGCCAGAGAAACCCUGUCUCAAAAACAAACAAACAAACAAACACCCCAAACAAACAAAAAAAGUAGUGGAGCCUUAUACUAUAUCAAUACAAGUGUUUACGAAUGGCUUUUUAAGUAGCUAGCUUAUAUGUAGACUUUAUAGGAUAUAGGGUUAGAGAGAGCCUUCUGUUAACUGGAAGAGCAAUCUCAGAGAGAAAAACUGAUGUUUACCAUAAGAAAUUCGUUGGUUGGUUGUUCUGUGAACUAUACAAGCUGGGGAACUUACUAUAUAGCCACACUGGCCUUAAAUUCACAUUGAGCCAUCAUCAUCAUCAUCUUCUCUUUUUUUUUUCUUUAAAGCUUUAUUUAGUAUAUGUAAGUACACUGUAGCUGUCUUCAGACACCCCAGGAGAGGGCAUAAGAUCUCAUUACAGAUGGCUGUGAGCCACCAUGUGGUUGCUGGGAUUUGAACUCAGGACCUUUGGAAGAGCAGUCAGUGUUCUU